GACGAACGCUGGCGGCGUGCCUAAUACAUGCAAGUCGAACGCAGUGGGGACGGGUGAGUAACACGUGGGUAACCUCCCAUCAGAGGGGAUAACACUUGGAAACAGGUGCUAAACCGAUCCUGAUGGAUGAACCCGCGGUGCCUUAGCUAGUUGGUGUGGUAACGGCUCACCAAGGCCACGAAGCAUAGCCGGACUGAGAGAGUGAGCGGCCACACUGGGACUGAGACACGGCCCAGACUCCGACGGGAGGCAGCAGUAGGGAAUCGUCGGCAAUGGAGGAAAGUCUGACCGAGCAACGCCGCGUGAGUAAAGAAGGUUUUCGGAUCGUAAAACUCUGUUGUUAGAGAAGCGGUAUCUAACCAGAAGACCACGGCUAACUACGUGCCAGCCGCCGCGGUGAUAC
rnacentral:rRNA from 1 species